CAGUCGCCGCGGUAAUACGUAGGGUGCGAGCGUUAAUCGGAAUUACUGGGCGUAAAGCGUACGCAGGCGGUUGUGUAAGACAGGUGUGAAAUCCCCGGGCUUAACCUGGGAACUGCGCUUGUGACUGCACAGCUAGAGUAUGGCAGAGGGGGGUGGAAUUCCACGUGUAGCAGUGAAAUGCGUAGAGAUGUGGAGGAACACCGAUGGCGAAGGCAGCCCCCUGGGCCAAUACUGACGCUCAUGCACGAAAGCGUGGGGAGCAAACAGGAUUAGAUACCCCUGUAGUCCCUGUCUCUUAUAC
rnacentral:rRNA from 1 species